AGUAGAGUAAGCAUUACGCGUAAAGUGUCACAGGAUGGGAAGUUGCCUGUGAACGAAGGAAACCGUGAAAUCUUUCCACGAUGUAUUGCUGCGUCCGCUACU
rfam:Firmicutes bacterium CAG:646 genomic scaffold, scf195